rnacentral:pre_miRNA from 1 species
GAGACACCCUUAUGGAACAGGACUUGCUUCAGAGGGGCUUUGGUGUUCACUGAGUCUGCCCCCUGAGUGUGUCUCU